GACGUAGGGCGCGAGCGUUGUCCGGAUUUAUUGGGCGUAAAGAGCUCGUAGGCGGCUUGUUGCGUCGACCGUGAAAACCCGGGGCUCAACUUCGGGCUUGCGGUCGAUACGGGCGGGCUAGAGUUCGGCAGGGGAGACUGGAAUUCCUGGUGUAGCGGUGAAAUGCGCAGAUAUCAGGAGGAACACCGGUGGCGAAGGCGGGUCUCUGGGCCGAUACUGACGCUGAGGAGCGAAAGCGUGGGGAGCGAACAGG
rnacentral:rRNA from 1 species